rnacentral:rRNA from 1 species
UCACGCGGGAUUCGAUUAGAGUUUGAUUCUGGCUCAGGAUGAACGCUGGCGGCGUGCCUAACACAUGCAAGUCGAACGAAGCACUAAACAUGAAGCCUUCGGGCGGAGCGAUUAGUGACUUAGUGGCGGAUGGGUGAGUAACGCGUGGGUAACCUGCCUUACACAGGGGGAUAACAACGGGAAACGGUUGCUAAAACCGCAUGAAGUAUGAACAUCGCAUGAUGAUCAUAUUAAAUAUUUAUAGGUGUAAGAUGGGCCCGCGUCUGAUAUGCUAGUUGGUGGGGUAAUAGCCUACCAAGGCGAUGAUCAGUAGCCGGCUUGAGAGAGUGACAGGCCACAUUGGGACUGAGACACGGCCCAAACUCCUACGGGAGGCAGCAGUGGGGAAUCUUGCACAAUGGGCGAAAGCCUGAUGCAGCGAGGCCGCGUGAGUGAAGACGUACUUCGGUAUGUAAAGCUCUAUCAGCAGGGACGAUA